GUCUAUGGCAUGCCACCCUGAGACUGUCUGUUCUCAUCUGAUUUCAGAAGUUAAGCAGGGUAGGACCUGGUUAGUAUUUGGAUGGGAGGGACCACACUUUCUUAGGCU
rnacentral:rRNA from 1 species